rnacentral:lncRNA from 1 species
AUCCAAAUUCCAAGUAUUUUGAGAUUUCACUAUGCCAUGCCAAAAAUGCACUUAAAUCCACUUGAAAUUUGACUUUUUGCAUUGACCAUUUUUGAUGAAUUUGGGAUCACACACCAUGAAAGUACAUGUGAAAUGGGGUUUGCUCAUAAAAAGAUCAUCCAAUUUGGACAUUCCAUGUGAAAGUUAUGCCACUUUGAUUAUAGGCAUUUUUGGAAAAUGAAUGGACCAUAACUUGUCAACCAUACAUGGGAAUUUCAAGUUCUUGGACUUUUUGGAAAGGUGAGAACAAGAUCUACAACUUUCAUGUUGGACAAAUUUCCAUUUGAAGCUUUCUUGGACAUGUAAUUUUGUGGUGAAAAACUUUCCAUUUUUGGAAACUUCCAUUACAAGUCACUUUCUAUUUUUGGCAAUUUUUCUCCUGACUUUAUUUUCUUCAUUCUUGAGCUUUGACAUGUCAAAUGAAACUUGUUUCAACAUGAAUGAAGUGUAUCCAACUCUCUCCCACCUCCAAAUCCAUAAAAUCAAGCACAGUUGA